rnacentral:rRNA from 1 species
AAGAGAUGGCGACCGGCGCACGGGUGAGUAACACGUAUCCAACCUGCCGAUAACUCCGGAAUAGCCUUUCGAAAGAAAGAUUAAUACCGGAUGGCAUACGAAUAUCGCAUGAUAUUUUAUUAAAGAAUUUCGGUUAUCGAUGGGGAUGCGUUCCAUUAGUUUGUUGGCGGGGUAACGGCCCACCAAGACUACGAUGGAUAGGGGUUCUGAGAGGAAGGUCCCCCACAUUGGAACUGAGACACGGUCCAA